GGGGCUAUAGCUCAGCCUGGUAGAGCAGCGGACUUUUAAUCCGUGUGCCGUGGGUUCAAAUCCCACUAGCCUCG
rnacentral:tRNA from 1 species